rnacentral:lncRNA from 1 species
CCUCUUUACUUUAGUUUAGUAAAGUCGUCUUUGUUUUUGCCGCCAACGUACGCUACUAGGAGAGUAAGCAAGCUAGCUUGCUUGCAUUCGUCAAAGGGUAGCUUCCGUGCCCUUCCUGCCUGCUGAAAUUUAUGUGAAUGAUCGUGACAGCUCUUCAAAUCCUAUUCGGUCUGAUUAGAUAUGUCACUGAAACAAAGUGAUUCCG